CCUGGCGACCAUAGAGACGUGGAACCACCCCUGAUCCAUCCCGAACUCAGAAGUGAAACGCGUAUCGCCGAUGGUAGUGUGGGAUAAGGACGAACAGUAUCCCCGCUGUUGCAGGUG
rnacentral:rRNA from 1 species